UCCCUAAAAACAUUCAGUCUGCAAUAGAAGCCCCUAAAUUGUAAAAUCCCUAAAAGCCAAAAUCCUUUCGUCUAUUUCCUUGUGCUGCCAACUACCAAUGUGCCUCGCCUCCCUUCUCUCCUCUCUUCUCUCUUUUUAUUCCUCUCUAAUCUCUACCUUGUGUUGCUGUCCUUGUUAGUUGUCAUUGUCAUUGGCCUACAGUUGUCCCUUGGAAGUCCAUUUGAAGCCAGCACAGCCCAGUUUCAAAUGGGCAUGGAAUUGUUGGACUGCUAGUUUGUGCUUUUUAAAAUUUUUUCUUGGAUGAUGACUUGGUCAUUUUUAUCUACUUUGUGCAAGUUUCAAAUGGUUCGAUUUCAAAUCAAACCAACCAAAUGCUCCCCUAGCAAGAUCUUCCAUGCUGUACGCUCAAAACACAUUGCAUGAUCUCUAGUGGAAGCCCAAGACUUCACAUGUUGCAAAGAGAAGCCCACUGUGAGACAGCAGAGAGCUUGGGGCAAGAAGGUGAUUUCAUAAUUUUGACCAUGAUGUUAGUGGUAAGGGAAUGAAAGGAGGAAACAUAUUGGAAGUGGAUAAUCUGCUGAAGUAUAAGGAGCUAUGACGACUUUAACGCUUCAAAUUUUAUUAUU